GCCUCUAAGGAUGAUCAAAGAAAACUUUCGUUCUUCUGAGAAGUUUCAUGCGGAAUAUUUAUGGAGACCUGAACUGAAGAGGC